CCUCAAGCUCCUGGGCUCAAGCGAUCCUCUUGCCUCAGCCUCCCGAGUAGCUGGGACCACAGGCACAUACCACCAUUCCUGGCAAGAACACUUGCUUAUUACUCUCAACCCUUCUUUUAAAAAAUUAUUGGUCACUUUUAAAUGUAUAAUCUUCUUCUUGGUGCUAAAAUAAUUUUGCGCAAGUUUUGAAAGACUUUUUGGAUGUAGCUAGACAUUGAAAUUCAUUAACCUUUUUUAUUUAGGAAAAAGAGACGUUUUUCUUACAUUAAGUCUUCUUCCCAUCUAAAACAUGGCAUGUCUCUCAAUUUAUGUAGAUGCUAUUUUGUAUCUUUCAGAAAGAAUUUAGUCUGCUUCAUAUAGAUCCUAUACCUUUCAAGAUUUAUUCCUGAGAAUUGUGUCGUUUUUGUCAGAAUUGUAAACUGAAUAUUUUUCUCCUUCUCCAUUUCUAACUGAUUACCAGCAGGCUCUAGAUUCUUUAUGUUAUUAUGCCAGGUAGAAGAAGCAUCUUACUUAUUUCCAGGCUUGUCAACUUAUCACUGACAUUCUUUUUUCCUUUAAAAUUUGCCAUUAUUCUAGCUCUAAACACUUACAGUAAGUUUGAAAAGCUAUAUCUGCUUUAUAUUAUGUGCUUUAUAUAUAACUCAUGUGAUUUUCCCUUGCGAGAAAGUUUAACAGAGGGCCGGGCGUGGUGGCUCAUGUUUGUAAUCACGGUGACCCAAAACAACCAUGUUGUUAUAUCUCAUGAUAUUGUGGGUGAGAGGUUUGGGCAGAUUUGAAGUAUUUCCUCUUAAAGUUCCUACUUGAAAACUUUUACU
rnacentral:lncRNA from 1 species